rnacentral:rRNA from 1 species
GACGAACGCUGGCGGCGUGCCUAAUACAUGCAAGUAGAACGCUGAAGGAGGAGCUUGCUUCUCUGGAUGAGUUGCGAACGGGUGAGUAACGCGUAGGUAACCUGCCUGGUAGCGGGGGAUAACUAUUGGAAACGAUAGCUAAUACCGCAUAAUAGUAGAUGUUGCAUGACAUUUGCUUAAAAGGUGCAAUUGCAUCACUACCAGAUGGACCUGCGUUGUAUUAGCUAGUUGGUGAGGUAACGGCUCACCAAGGCAACGAUACAUAGCCGACCUGAGAGGGUGAUCGGCCACACUGGGACUGGGACACGGCCCAGACUCCUACGGGAGGCAGCAGUAGGGAAUCUUCGGCAAUGGACGGAAGUCUGACCGAGCAACGCCGCGUGAGUGAAGAAGGGUUUCGGAUCGUAAAGCUCUGUUGUAAGAGAAGAACGAGUGUGAGAGUGGAAAGUUCACACUGUGACGGUAUCUUACCAGAAAGGGACGGCUAACUACGUG